rnacentral:rRNA from 1 species
AUUGAACGCUGGCGGCAGGCCUAACACAUGCAAGUCGAGCGAGCGGCGGACGGGUGAGUAAUGUCUGGGAAACUGCCUGAUGGAGGGGGAUAACUACUGGAAACGGUAGCUAAUACCGCAUACCAUCAGAUGUGCCCAGAUGGGAUUAGGUAGUAGGUGGGGUAACGGCUCAGCUGGGCGACGAUCCCUCGCUGGUCUGAGAGGAUGCCCAGCCACACUGGAACUGAGACACGGCCCAGACUCCGACGUGAGGCAGCAGUGGGGAAUAUUGCACGAUGGUCGCAAGCCUGAUGCAGCCAUGCCGCGUGUGUGAAGAAGGCCUUCGGGUUGUAAAGCACUUUCAGCGGGGAGGCGUUACCCGCAGAAGAAGCACCGGCUAACUCCGUGCCAGCAGCCGCGGUAAUUC